UGUGCCUUAAGGCCCGUUGUCGCCCUGAUCGAUAUAGAUAUAUUUGAAGUUGAAGCUGAAGAGAGACAAAAAAUUUAUAAAGAAGUUAUUGCAGUCCAGGGCCCACCGGACGGCACAGUACUGGUCUCAAUCAAAAGUUCUGCACAAGAGAAUACUUUCUUUGACGAUGCUUUGAUCGAUGAGCUUCUGCAGCAGUUUGCACACUUCGGCGAAGUUAUACUUAUAAGAUUCGUAGAAGAUAAAAUGUGGGUUACAUUUUUGGAGGGGAGCUCUGCCUUGAAUGUUCUGAGCCUAAAUGGUAAAGAGUUAUUAAAUCGGACUAUAACAAUUACUUUAAAAAGUCCAGACUGGAUCAAAACUUUGGAAGAAGAGAUGAGUUUAGAGAAAAUCAGUGUCACAUUGCCCUCAUCAACCAGUUCCACCCUGCUCGGUGAAGAUGCAGAGGUCUCAGCGGACUUUGACAUGGAAGGUGAUGUCGACGACUACAGUGCUGAGGUGGAGGAGCUUCUUCCUCAGCACCUCCAGCCAUCCUCCAGCUCUGGCCUCGGCACCUCUCCAAGCUCUUCGCCCCGGACCAGUCCCUGCCAGUCACCCACAGCACCAGAGUACUCCGCACCUUCUCUUCCCAUCAGACCUAGUCGAGCACCAUCAAGAACUCCAGGACCUCUAAGUUCACAGGGUGCUCCAGUUGACACCCAGCCAGCAGCCCAGAAGGAGUCUUCCCAGACCAUAGAGCCCAAGAGGCCACCCCCUCCCCGCCCAGUUGCUCCUCCAGCACGUCCUGCCCCACCACAGAGGCCACCUCCACCUUCAGGGGCUAGGAGUCCGGCACCUGCUAGAAAAGAAUUUGGAGCACCCAAAAGCCCGGGAACAGCACGGAAAGAUAAUAUAGGGCGUAAUCAGCCUUCCCCUCAAGCCGGACUUGCAGGCCCAGGACCUUCUGGAUAUGGUGCAGCUAGACCGACAAUUCCAGCUCGUGCUGGAGUGAUCAGUGCCCCUCAGAGCCAGGCUCGGGUGUCUGCUGGAAGGCUGACUCCUGAAAGCCAAAGCAAACCCUUGGAGACAUCGAAAGGUCCUGCUGUCCUUCCAGAACCACUGAAGCCUCAGGCUGCAUUUCCUCCGCAGCCUUCUCUGCCCACACCUGCUCAAAAGUUACAGGACCCACUUGUCCCCAUAGCAGCACCUAUGCCUCCCUCCAUUCCCCAAUCGAAUUUGGAAACUCCACCCCUGCCCCCACCUCGGAGCAGGUCAUCUCAAAGCUUGCCUUCAGACUCCUCACCACAGCUACAAGUAAAAAUAAAUGGAGCUUGUGGUGUCAAACAAGAGCCAACAUUGAAGAGUGACCCAUUUGAAGACCUCUCACUUAGUGUGCUUGCUGUAUCCAAGGCUCAGCCUUCUGCUCAGAUUUCACCUGUUCUAACCCCAGACCCAAAGAUGUUGAUUCAGUUGCCUUCUGCAUCGCAAAGUAAAGUUAACUCUUUGAGUUCUGUAAGUUGCAUGCUAACCAUGCCUCCAGUUCCAGAGCAAAGCAAGUCACAGGAAAGUGUGGGGAGUUCUGCAAACCCAUUUCCCAGCCUGCCUACCAGGAACCCUUUUACAGACAGGACUGCUGCCCCUGGAAACCCAUUUAGAGUUCAGUCUCAAGAAUCAGAGGCAACUUCUUGGCUAUCCAAAGAAGAGCCUGUUUCUAACAGUCCUUUCCCUCCUCUCAUGCCUCUCAGUCACGACAUGAGCAAGCCUUCAAGUUCACUAGAUGGUUUUGAGGACAAUUUUGAUCUGCAGAGCCAGUCUACAGUAAAAACAAGCAACCCCAAAGGAUGGGUAACAUUUGACGAAGAUGAAGACUUUCCUACAAAAGGAAAGUCAAGGUCGGUUUAUCCAGACUCCCUGGGUAAUACAGCAGCUUCAUUUGAUGAUGACUGGAGUAAAGGUACAAACGUUUCUUUCUGUGUGCUGCCAGCCAGAAGGCCACCACCUCCACCACCUCCUGUCCCUCUGCUACCACCUGGCACCACCUCAUCUGCAGGACCUAGCACAACCCUGUCAUCUAAGGCAUCUCCCACAUUGGACUUCACAGAAAGAUAAUGACAUGGAGGGAAGGGAGUUUCUCCUGGUGUGGUGUGACUGUUUGUUUCUGUUUGUCAGGGUAGACCCAAGAGAAUGGGGCAUUAAUUAGUUGUUAUGUGCAAUAAAUAAUCAGUAAGUGCACUGAUAUCUAUAUAAAAUACCACUAGAGGAUGUGGACAAAGCUGGAGUUUGUGUAUAUCAGAAAUAGCAAAGACAUCCUCUUAACUGGAGUUCUGGCCUUUCUCUUCAGAUGAAUGGAAGAGAAUAGGAACCAUUUUUAAAAGUGCUUAAAACUACUCUAGAAUAGUCCUUACUCAGAUACUCACAUAGCAAUCACGUAAAGCCCACACAACUGCAGCUGACAGUACUGCCAGCCCAUUGUGCUGUUGACGAUUGGUAUUCGUGGAUACUUACCAAAGAGCUUCCAGAGUUCUGGUGAGAUUGCUUUGAACGGCAUUACUUUAGCCAAAAGGUCUGUGUAUAUAUACACUGUGUGUGUAUGUCUGUAUGUAUGCACAAACACACAUGUGUACAUCCACAUACUUAUAAAAUCUGUCUUGAUAUAAUUCAGAUCAAAUUUUACCUAACAGUUCUGACAAUGUCCUUUUUUUCAAUAUCUCACUAUCAAGAAGCUGGCUGCCACUGGGUGUGCUUCAUUACGUCACUAACUGCCUCCCAGAAUGGAAGGGUCAGUCCCUUUACAGAGCUGCCAUCUCCUGUUACGCUGCACCUCAGACCUUCACAUUCAUCCUACUACCUUCCUCCUCUGGUAUGCCUUUCCCUGGGCAUUUACAAUGGGCAGUACAGACGUGGUCAGUCAUGUGACAGAUACUCAAAACAGUAGGCACCUGCCACCAGAUUCCAGGAGGAACACUAUCAGUGUGCUCCUUUCUCUGCACAGCCCUUUCCCUUCAGACCUUUCUGUUUGCCAAUUGCCUGGAGCUUUGCUCUCAGCUGUUGAGUGGUCCGAAUUAGGAACAUGUCCAGUAUAGGUUCUCUCCCAUGUAAGAGGCUACAUAACAUAUCCAUGAUGCUGCUUUAAGGUUUUAGAGGCUAUACCUCAAAUUAGCUGUGGAUUUUGUCUCCUGCACUGCCAGUAUGCAACUGAUCUUGCAUUUAUUAAUUUUGUGAAAAAAUACAUGGAAUUUUUACAAAAAAAAAAAAACAAAAAACAAAAAACAAAAACACCCAAAACCAUAGUAUUUUGAUAUCAUUAGGUAAGCCAGUCAGAAAAUUCCCUAAGCUAUUGUUUUGUUGGUUGUCAGUUGAAGUUAAAAUCAUCCUUACCCAUUAAGACUUAAUGUUCUCUUUAUAUAAAAAGAGUUCCAUGCUUACACCCAAGUUCCUAGUCUACAUGAACCUUUAAAGAUGUGUAUUGUGAGAUUAGAAAGAAUUUAUGGCUGCCCUCACCUCUGUAAAAGCACAGCAGACUGCAUUGCACUUCUAUCAUAGAGCAGAUCUGUUAGGACAGAGCACCUUUGCAAAUGCUCAGUGUUAUCAAACCCUGUAUUUAUAGAAGUAACUCUCUGCUACAGCCGUAACUUGCUGUUAGCAAUAACUCUUGUGAGUUUUAUAUUGUGCUUGUUGGGGUUCUAAACAUUUCAGCAGUAGUAGCUUUUAAACUGCAGUAUUACUAGAGCAGUGUACUUCAAAAUGUGAAUUAAUUUGUGGAGAUUGUGGCUGUAACAUCUGUGUGAGUAGUGUGUAUGGUAUCCACUCCCCAUUAGCAUAAUCCAUUUUAGGAAACUGAAGCAGAGUGUGGAUUGCAGCCCCGAGCAGUGACUCCCUCGGGUAUAAACCACUGUAAUGUCUGCAGAGCAAUAGCUCUUCCUUAUCAGGAAGUCUGGUAGCUGCUGAAACGCACAAAGGAAGUUAAAGUUUGCUACAAAGAACUCAACAUUGUGUGUAUUUACCAGCUCUGGUCAAAGCAGAAAACAGACACUAAGAAUCUUUGUGAGUCUCUGUUCUCUCUAGUAGAUUGCUGUUUAUAUGUAUGUAAGAGGUUUAUUGCUUAUGUGGCAUACAGUAUUUAUAACUAUAUACUUUAUAGAAGUACAGUAUUAAAGUCGCUGGUAUACAUUCUGUACAUAUCCUGUGAAAUGUGCUGUCAUAUGAAAUAAAUAUGUCUUUACCACU
rnacentral:lncRNA from 1 species